AGAACUAUGGCAAACUAGGCUAUUUAGAGGAAGUAAAAGUCGUAACAAGGUUUCCGUAGGUGAACCUGCGGAAGGAUCAUUAAAUAAUCAAUAAUUUUGGCUUGUCCAUCAUUAUCUAUUUACUGUGAACUGUAUUAUUACUUGACGCUUGAGGGAUGUUCCAAUGCUAUAAGGAUAGGCACUGGAAAUGUUAACCGAGUCAUAAUCAAGCUUAGGCUUGGUAUCCUAUUAUUAUUUACCAAAAGAAUUCAGAAUUAAUAUUGUAACAUAGACGUAAAAAAUCUAUAAAACAACUUUUAACAACGGAUCUCUUGGUUCUCGCAUCGAUGAAGAACGUAGCAAAGUGCGAUAACUAGUGUGAAUUGCAUAUUCAGUGAAUCAUCGAGUCUUUGAACGCAACUUGCGCUCAUUGGUAUUCCAAUGAGCACGCCUGUUUCAGUAUCAAAACAAACCCUCUAUCCAACUUUUUUGUUGAAUAGGAUGACUGAGAGUCUCUUGAUCUAUUCUGAUCUUGAACCUCUUGAAAUGUACAAAGGCCUGAUCUUGUUUGAAUGCCUGAACUUUUUUUUAAUAUAAAGAGAAGCUCUUGCGAUAAAACUGUGCUGGGGCCUCCCAAAUAACACAUCUUUAAAUUUGAUCUGAAAUCAGGUGGGAUUACCCGCUGAACUUAAGCAUAUCAAUAAGCGGAGGAAAAGAAAAUAACAAUGAUUUCCCUAGUAACGGCGAGUGAAGAGGAAAGAGCUCAAAGUUGGAAACUGUUUGGCUUAGCUAAACCGUAUUGUAAACUGUAGAAACACCUCCUGGCACACCAGAGUAAUAAGUCGGAAGGCACUUUUCAUCCCUGCCCUGAUAGAGUCGAGUUGUUGGGAAUGCACUGGUCG
rnacentral:rRNA from 1 species